rnacentral:rRNA from 1 species
CCUACGGGUGGCAGCAGUGGGGAAUAUUGCACAAUGGGGGAAACCCUGAUGCAGCGACGCCGCGUGAGUGAAGAAGGAAUUCGUUAUGGAAAACUCUAUCUGCAGGGAAGCAAAUGACGGUACCUGAGUAAGAAGCACCGUCUAACUACAUACCAGCAGCCGCGGUAAUACGUAGGGGGCCAGCGUUAUCCGGAGUGUCUGGGUGUUAAGGGAGCUUAGUGGGCAGUGCAAGUCUGGAGGGAAAGGCGCGGGCUCAACCCCCGGACGGCUGUGGAAACUGUACGGCUGGAGUGCAGGAGAGGUAAGUGGAAUUCGUAGUGUAGCGGUGAAAUGCGUAGAUAUUAGGAGGAACACCAGUGGCGAAGGCGGCUUACUGGACUGUAACUGACGUUGAGGCUCGAAAGCGUGGGGAGCAAACAGGAUUAGAUACCCGGGUAGUC